GUUUUUUUGUAUAUCCUGC
rnacentral:miRNA from 1 species